GCUUCUAUGGUGUAAAAAACACGGUACAUUUUCACUGUACAAUUAAAAAUCCCUCUUUUUAGAAGCU
rnacentral:tRNA from 1 species